rnacentral:rRNA from 1 species
AGCGAACGCUGGCGGCGUGCUUAACACAUGCAAGUCGAGUGCGCGUCCGUAGCAAUACGGAUGGCGCACGGCGCACGGGUGCGUAACACGUGGGCAAUCUGCCCUUCGAUGGGGGAUAACUCGCCGAAAGGCGAGCUAAUACCGCAUGACAUUCCGGGGACUCCGGUCCCUGGACUCAAAGGCCGCAAGGCCGUCGGAGGAGGAGCCCGCGCCCGAUUAGCUAGUUGGUGAGGUAACGGCUCACCAAGGCUUUGAUCGGUAGCCGGUCUGAGAGGAU